rnacentral:tRNA from 1 species
UUGCCUGUGGCCUAGUGGGCAAGGUGACAGUCUUGGGAACAUGGGGUUGCAGGAUCAAGCCCAGCUAGGAACA